rnacentral:misc_RNA from 1 species
GAGAGAGAGAGAGAGAGAGAAUGUGUGUGUGUGUAUGAAAGUGUUGUGAUUUUGUGGAGAGGAAAAUAUUUUGGUAUAAAGGACUGUUGUUGCAUCAUCUGCUGUCCAUAUAUUACAUCUGCUGACCCAAAGUGAUGGAAGUACAAACUACACAGUUUAAAAGAUCAAUCCUUGUCGAUGGAGUCAUUGACUUCACUGCUGGGACGGCAGGUGGGAUUGCCAAUGUUUACAUCGGUCAGCCACUAGACACAGUCAAAGUGAAGAUGCAGACGUUUCCAACCAUGUACAGAAAUGGUCUCCACUGUUUCACCGACACUUUCAAAAAGGAUGGCAUUGUUAGGGGCCUCUAUGCUGGUACCGGGCCUUCCCUUGUGGCAAAUAUUUCGGAAAAUGCUAUUCUCUUCUUGUUCUAUGGAUUUUGCCAGAAGGCAAUUGCUCUUGUUACAAAACAUAAGAAGGUGGAAGAUUUAUCACCUAUUCACAAUGCAUUUGCUGGAAGUGGUGCUGCCUUUUUCUGUGCAUUUGCACUUUGUCCUACAGAACUUGUCAAAUGUCGCCUGCAGGCCAUGCGUGAAAUGAAAGGGGGUGCCAGAACAGUUGGACCUUGGGCAGUAACAAGAGAAGUCCUCCAUGCUGAAGGAAUUCCAGGUCUCUAUAAAGGUUUGACCAGUACUAUACUCAGAGAAAUGCCUGGAUAUUUCUUUUUCUUUGGUGGUUAUGAGUUAACCCGUCAUUUGUUUAUACCAAAAGGUGGCACUAAAGAGGAUGUGGGCCCAGUAGGAACCAUUAUUAGUGGUGGAGUUGGUGGACUAGCUCUGUGGACAGCCAUAUUUCCAGCUGAUGUUGUUAAAUCUAGGAUCCAAGUUCAAAGCACAGUUGGUAAAGCAGCACCAACGUUUUCAUCAGUAUUUUUUUCGGUCUUAAAAACUGAAGGAGUAACAGCACUAUACAAAGGUUUGGGGCCAACAUUAUUACGAACAUUUCCAUCCACUGGAGGCCUGUUCCUCACAGUUGAGUUGACCAAGAAAUACAUGGGUCUCACUGCUGAUUAUUUCCAUUUGUGAUAAUCCUUGAAACUCUGCUAAAUUGUAGUUCACUUGAUACACUGCAAGACCUUAAAAAACAAAAAGCAUUGUAAACAUGUUUUUGAUCUGAAAGCUAAACAAUAUAUUCAUGAAGGAAUCGAAGAAGGAUCCCAUAGGUGUUCACUCGAUUUGCUAGAAAUAGCAGCUAAAUUUCUCUUAAAUCACUAUUUUACCAUAAAUAAAAAGACACCUCGACAAAAAUAAUAGUAAAUACACAAUGGCUGGAGAAAAGUUGGGAUGGUCACAACUGGAACACUUUUAAUCAUAAAUUUGCUCCAUCAGAGCUAAACAAUAACAACAACGUUUAUGGAAUUCUUUCCAAUAAAGAGAUGAUUAUUUUUGUUUACAACAUAUUUGUAAAAUAAAAUUGAAUAUAUCGAAAUUUUAAUAAAAACUGUUUA